GGAAGUGGGGCCUUGGGACCUUCCAUUAGUUGCUUUAGCCCGUUACUAUGACAACACAUCUGAGAAAAGCAACUCAAGAAAGGUUUAUCCUCCCUCAACGAUCCACGUGCAUCCCUCCCGAAGCUGUGCACUCGGCCAAAGAGGACAACCUUCCCAAUAGAGAAGGACCGGCCUUCGGUCAAGGUCUAUGAAUAGCUGCGCUCCCCUGCUAGAACCUCCAAACCAGCUCUCAAGAAAGGUUUAUCUGGCUCACAGUUGGAGGACGCAGUCCGUCAUGGUG
rnacentral:snRNA from 1 species